UCUAAGGUAAACACUUCAAACCAGCGGGCCGUACACUUGCACUUGUGCAUGGCCGCUGCAUCUGUACCAUCAAACACCACGGACACAAAUAAAAGUUCCACUCUAAUGAACCAGUUCUGCUAGACUCCAAAGGUCACACGCUAUUCUUUGUUGCCUCCGUCAUUUCACCUCCUCUCAUUUCUCUCUCUAGGUUAGCCCCUCUCUCUCUCCCCUCUCUCAUUCAGGGUCCCUUAGCGAUUCGUCUUAGUUAUCCUUGGAUCCGGCGAUUUCACAUAGUGGGAAGCGUAGAUCGGAGGUGGAGAUGCAAGGGGUGCGCACGGAGGGAUUUCUCGGCGGAGAUGCGGUGAGAUUCAGUUGGUGGUGGAGGAGCGGAUGCAUGCGAAGAGAGAGAAACCUAAAUCGAGUUGGGAGGAAGAGAAGGAGCCCCAUGUGAACUCAGGCGAAUCUUGAUUCCAUCGUCCUGCUACCAGGGGCAUGGACGAUGCGUGGCGGGUCGAGGGGACUUCGAGUAGUGCCGAUCUGCUUCCAGGAUACAUAAAAGGCAGACACAACAUCGUCGAUGAAGAACUACUGCAAGGAGAAUGUGAUGUGAUGGAAUUUUUUCUGCUCCCAGGUUAAAGAUGCUAAGGGUGACAAGUAUGGAAAGUGGAGUCCAGUUCUCAACACCCGGUUUGACCUUCCUGCUUAAGUCACAAAAUUAUUCAGCAGUGAGAGGGGGACCCAGAUUAGGUUAUAUGGUAGUGGAUAUUAGGCACUUCAACUAUUAAGAAGGGGAAGGACAUGCUAUGUGCAGUCUGCAUGCAGUACAUAUUGCGUGGUUCAUGCACUUUUUGCAAAGCGUAACCAAUCCAGUGCAUAAGUCUGAUGUGAACUACUGGAUAUCUGUUCAUGCAGUUUUUUAAGAACAACCAAGAUCUGAAUCUGAGUGAUUUUGCUGAAACCAAUAUGUGCUUUAUAUUAGGCAAUAGUGGAUCUGUUUGGGAAACCCUGAUUAAAAUUGUAGAUCAGGUUCUCAAGUUAUAGAGAAAAUAGUGGAUUUGUUAUACAUAUGUACCACGAGUAAUUUUUUUCUGAACUUCUAUUGGUUCGUUUCUAUCA